AGUUGUUGGCAGUCCCCCUCCCCUCUCGGGUCAGGGAGCGUAUGCUGUGGGGAUGCUAUGAAUGGAUUGUCUAUAACAAUGUUAUAGAGACUACUUCAUCAUUGCAUUCAUUUGGGGUUUGCGUCGUGGUUUGUAUUUUUUCCCUGAUUGUAUGAAUGUCACUAAGUACUUUGUAGUCGAACCCUGAGGAAUGUUAAUGCAUUUGUAAUCUUGUGCCUUUUCAGCUUUUACUCGUUCUGCAUUUGUUGUGAAAAAAAUGAAUAAUGCCCAGCCAAACUGGCUGAGAGUUGGCUUGGCAUUUAGCACCAGUGCUGCCUUGUGGGCUUUUCUUAUCAAGCAGCAUAAUGAAGAUGUAAUGGAAUACAAAAGAAGAAACAAGAGAGGACAUAAGUGUGCAGGAUGUUCAUAGCUGAUGACACGGUCACAAAGAGAUGUGCACUACAGAGCGAAGUGUAUGUGAUUGUUGUCCUACAAAUAAAUGAGCACAGAAGAAGUGUGAAAAAGUUACCUAAUUACUUGUAUGUUCAUACAUUUCAUGUGCAUAAUUAAAAAUAAAUUAUAAAGUCUAGAGGAAACCUGAGACUA